UGGGUUUGUUGGCUCAGGAACCCAAUCUGCAUGAUCUUGUUUAUAGCCAGCUACAAACAUUUUGCAGCGUUUUACUAAACGUUUGUGAAGUGUUGUCAUAUAAAACAUCUCUUAUGAUACUUACAGAAGUCCCGAGGUAGACAGAAGACUUACCUAGUAUACUCUUUUUAUGGACAAGAAAACGGAGAAAGUUUAAAGAGACUUGACCCAGCUUAACAAAAGGUCUGAUGGAAGGCUUUCUCAUUUCACAGCUGACAGCACUGGAGACAGAGCAGGAUCACAGAAGAAGAAAAUAAUGAGACCCUCAACUGGCUCUGAGAAAGCAAGCUAUCAUCUUGUGAAAUGCCCUGUGGAAAAGCCCAUGUAGCAAAGGACAGCCAAUAGCCAACAGAAAGCUGAUGCCCUCAGUCCAACAGCCUGCAAGAAACU